GUCACAUUGCAUGUGCAUCUGCAUUGUUUUAUUGAUAAACGGUUUUGUGUCUCUAAUAGACUGAGAUAAAUGCUUCACAAUUUGCAACAAUAUAACAGAAGAUGAAAAAAGGCCUAGGCUCUGAAGGUCCUCCUGGGCCUGAUCCUGGCUCACCCUCUGAUGGCUCAAAACCAGGACCUGCUCCAGGCCCAUCUCAGGAGGAACCCUCUUUCCCUGAUCUACAGGACUACAUCCUGAACCUCUCUGAUGAUCUCUAUCUGCAGUCCCUUCCUCUCCCUCUCUCCCUCCCCCCCCUCUCUCUCCCUUCCUCAUCUAUCUCUCUUCUCUCCAGAGGCUGUCCUGUAAUGGAGUGGCUGGUAAUCAUCCUGAGCUGUGCUCCAACACUGACCCUGACGCACCCAGAACAAACACUGCACAGGAAGAGAGAAUGGAUUUAGGGAGGGAGGGAAGGAGGGGGAGAGACAGAGAGACGGAGAGAGAUAGA